GAGUUUGAUCAUGGCUCAGAUUGAACGCUGGCGGCAUGCCUUACACAUGCAAGUCGAACGGCAGCAUGAUCUAGCUUGCUAGAUUGAUGGCGAGUGGCGAACGGGUGAGUAAUACAUCGGAACGUGCCCUGUAGUGGGGGAUAACUAGUCGAAAGAUUAGCUAAUACCGCAUACGACCUGAGGGUGAAAGUGGGGGACCGCAAGGCCUCAUGCUAUAGGAGCGGCCGAUGUCUGAUUAGCUAGUUGGUGGGGUAAAGGCCCACCAAGGCGACGAUCAGUAGCUGGUCUGAGAGGACGAUCAGCCACACUGGGACUGAGACACGGCCCAGACUCCUACGGGAGGCAGCAGUGGGGAAUUUUGGACAAUGGGGGCAACCCUGAUCCAGCAAUGCCGCGUGUGUGAAGAAGGCCUUCGGGUUGUAAAGCACUUUUGUCCGGAAAGAAAUCGCACUUACUAAUAUUAGGUGUGGAUGACGGUACCGGAAGAAUAAGGACCGGCUAACUACGUGCCAGCAGCCGCGGUAAUACGUAGGGUCCAAGCGUUAAUCGGAAUUACUGGGCGUAAAGCGUGCGCAGGCGGUUGUGCAAGACCGAUGUGAAAUCCCCGGGCUUAACCUGGGAAUUGCAUUGGUGACUGCACGGCUAGAGUGUGUCAGAGGGGGGUAGAAUUCCACGUGUAGCAGUGAAAUGCGUAGAGAUGUGGAGGAAUACCAAUGGCGAAGGCAGCCCCCUGGGAUAACACUGACGCUCAUGCACGAAAGCGUGGGGAGCAAACAGGAUUAGAUACCCUGGUAGUCCACGCCCUAAACGAUGUCAACUAGUUGUUGGGGAUUCAUUUCCUUAGUAACGUAGCUAACGCGUGAAGUUGACCGCCUGGGGAGUACGGUCGCAAGAUUAAAACUCAAAGGAAUUGACGGGGACCCGCACAAGCGGUGAAUGAUGUGGAUUAAUUCGAUGCAACGCGAAAAACCUUACCUACCCUUGACAUGCCACUAACGAAGCAGAGAUGCAUUAGGUGCUCGAAAGAGAAAGUGGACACAGGUGCUGCAUGGCUGUCGUCAGCUCGUGUCGUGAGAUGUUGGGUUAAGUCCCGCAACGAGCGCAACCCUUGUCUCUAGUUGCUACGAAAGGGCACUCUAGAGAGACUGCCGGUGACAAACCGGAGGAAGGUGGGGAUGACGUCAAGUCCUCAUGGCCCUUAUGGGUAGGGCUUCACACGUCAUACAAUGGUGCAUACAGAGGGUUGCCAAGCCGCGAGGUGGAGCUAAUCCCAGAAAAUGCAUCGUAGUCCGGAUCGUAGUCUGCAACUCGACUACGUGAAGCUGGAAUCGCUAGUAAUCGCGGAUCAGCAUGCCGCGGUGAAUACGU
rnacentral:rRNA from 1 species